rnacentral:rRNA from 1 species
GGGCCCGCACAAGCGGUGGAGUAUGUGGUUUAAUUCGAUGCAACGCGAAGAACCUUACCAGGGUUUGACAUCCUGCGAAUCUCUUGGAAACGAGAGAGUGCCUUCGGGAACGCAGUGACAGGUGGUGCAUGGCUGUCGUCAGCUCGUGUCGUGAGAUGUUGGGUUAAGUCCCGCAACGAGCGCAACCCACGUCUGUUAGUUGCCAUGCAUUUUGAGUUCGGGCACUCUAGCGAGACCGCCGGUGAUAAACCGGAGAAGGUGUGGAUGACGUCAAGUCAUCAUGCCCCUUACAUCUGGGCUACACACGUACUACAAUGCUACGGACAAAGGGCAGCAAGUUCGCGAGGACAAGCAAAUCCCAUAAACGUGGCUC